ensembl:lncRNA
GUCGCAGAUUACUGUUCUGUUUGAGAGGGCGCUCCUCUGUCACUGCGUUUUCCCGGUGGUUCAACCAUGUCACGAGUGAAAAUGUAUUGGUCGCGGUAUUUUUUGGGCAACUUCUACCAACAUUUUGGCGUUUCAACAACAAAACCAUCUAUUUCACUGUGACCUGUUUCUGACUAUUAGGCAGGCUGUUGUUGACUAUCAGGCUGUUGCUGACUAUCAGGCAGUGUGGCAGGCUGUUGUUAACUAUCAGGCAGUGUGGCAGGCUGUUGUUAACUAUCAGGCUGUUGUUAACUAUCAGGCAGUGUGGCAGGCUGUUGUUAACUAUCAGGCUGUUGUUGACUAUCAGGCUGUUGCUGACUAUCAGGCUGUUGUUAACUAUCAGGCUGUUGUUGACUAUCAGGCUGUUGUUAACUAUCAGGCUGUUGUUAACUAUCAGGCUGUUGUUGACUAUCAGGCUGUUGCUGACUAUCAGGCAGUGUGGCAGGCUGCUGCUGUUAACUAUCAGGCAGUGUGGCAGGCUGUUGCUGACUAUCAGGCUGUUGUUAACUAUCAGGCAGUGUGGCAGGCUGUUGUUAACUAUCAGGCAGUGUGGCAGGCUGUUGUUAACUAUCAGGCAGUGUGGCAGGCUGUUGUUAACUAUCAGGCUGU